GGGUCAGUAGGUUGGUCGUGCCACCGGUACGUACUGGUCUCACUGAUUCCUCCUUCCUGAAGAACCGUAAUGCCAUUAAUGUGGUGUUGCGGGGAAACAGGACUGUUACUUUGAAAAAAUUAGAGUGUUUAAAGCAGGCUAACGCUUGAAUACAUUAGCAUGGAAUAAUGAAAUAGGUCGAUCGAUCCUAUUUUGUUGGUUUCUAGGAUUGACGUA
rnacentral:rRNA from 1 species